rnacentral:rRNA from 1 species
CCUACGGGAGGCAGCAGUAGGGAAUCUUCCACAAGGGCGAAAGCCUGAUGGAGCAACGCCGCGUGGGUGAAGAAGGUCUUAGGAUCGUAAAAACCUGGUGGUAGAGAAGGAAGUGCGGGAGGGUAACUGGUUACGUUUCGACGGUAUCUAACCAGAAAGCCAAGGCUAACUACGUGCCAGCAGCCGGGGUAAGACGUAGGUUGCAAGCGUUAACCGGAUUUAUUGGGCGUAAAGGGAACGCAGGCGGUCUUUUAAGUUUGAUGUGAAAGCCUUCGGCUUAACCGGAGUAGUGCAUUGGAAACUGGGAGACUUGAGUGCAGAAGAGGAGAGUGGAACUCCAUGUGUAGCGGUGAAAUGCGUAGAUAUAUGGAAGAACACCAGUGGCGAAAGCGGCUCUCUGGUCUGUAACUGACGCUGAGGUUCGAAAGCGUGGGUAGCAAACAGGAUUAGAUACCCUUGUAGUC